UACGGGGGGGGCAAGCGUUGUUCGGAAUUACUGGGCGUAAAGGGUUCGUAGGUGGCCAAUUAAGUCAGACGUGAAAUCCCUCAGCUUAACUGGGGAACUGCGUCUGAGACUGGAUGGCUUGAGUGCAGGAGAGGAACGCGGAAUUCCAGGUGUAGCGGUGAAAUGCGUAGAUAUCUGGAGGAACACCGGUGGCGAAGGCGGGUCUCUGGGCCGUAACUGACGCUGAGGAGCGAAAGCGUGGGGAGCGAACAGG
rnacentral:rRNA from 1 species